rnacentral:rRNA from 1 species
GAGUUUGAUCAUGGCUCAGGAUGAACGCUGGCGGCGUGCUUAACACAUGCAAGUCGAACGAAGCGCCUUAUUUGAUUUUCUUCGGAACUGAAGAUUUGGUGACUGAGUGGCGGACGGGUGAGUAACGCGUGGGGUAACCUGCCCUGUACAGGGGGAUAACAAUCAGAAAUGACUGCUAAUACCGCAUAAGACCACAGCACCGCAUGGUGCAGGGGUAAAAAACUCCGGUGGUACAGGAUGGACCCGCGGUCUGAUUAGCUGGUUGGUGAGGUAACGGCUCACCAAGGCGACGAUCAGUAGCCGGCUUGAGAGAGUGAAGGGCCACAUUGGGACUGAGACACGGCCCAAAACUCCUACGGAGGCAGCAGUGGGGAAUAUUGCACAAUGGGGGAAACCCUGAUGCAGCAACGCCGCGUGAGUGAAGAAGUAUUUCGGUAUGUAAAAGCUCUAUCAGCAGGGAAGAAAAGUGACGGUACCUGACUAAGAAGCCCGGCUAAACUACGUGCCAGCCGCCGCCGU